rnacentral:lncRNA from 1 species
GGGGGACCCACUGCUGGCAGCCCCAGCAGCCCCAGCUGCACGCAGAUGAAGAGCUCUGGACACACGCGGCUUCCUGAACAGCUUCUCCAGGGACAGACAAAUGGGGACCCUGCAGGUUCCCGGCAGGGGUGUCCCUGGGAGCCCAUGAUUGGGGGUGCGACCCUGGCCCCCUUCUCAUUGGCCCCGUCCUGUCCUGCAAUGCCCGUCCCAUGUGAGGUCUGCUUCUGGCUCCAUGCCUAUGGCAGCACCUGCUUUCCCUGGCGUAGAGGUGCUUGUCCGGUUUGUGGAGGGCACGCCCCAUUUUGGGUGCUCUGGGCACGUUGCCUCUCCGGGGCCUCGGUGGCUUUUUUAGAAGCAGACUCAGAAGUCCCUGACUGGGGAAGCCAAGGCACAGGUGGCUGUGUGGAGCCCUGUGAGGCCUCCUCUGUGCUGCCCACGCUGUACCUGCUGGCCACACGAGAUCAUGGCAGGGUUAGGCAGGGCUGCCCAGCGCUAUGACAGCUUCAUGAGUGUCCAUCUGGCCUGUGGGGUGCUUGAGCUGGGGGAGGCCGCAGAAGAACCCUGGGAUGCAUGGCUGGCCUGUGCAUGCUGCUGGGCAUGGAGCUGCAGAUCCCGGAACAAGCAGGCACUGCCUUCUCCUUCACAGACGCAGCUCUGAGCGGGGGCGAGACCUGGGCAGGGACCAGGUGGGGUGGGCACAGGGUGGUGGGGCCCAGGCUCAGCCCUCCCUCCACUGUGGCCGUCUCUGUGGCCAGUGACGCCACAGCCUGUGUCUUCUCUGUGCGGUAGCUGGGGCUGGAAGGACAGCACUGCCUUGUCCUCCCAACUCCUCCCCAAAGGCACGGUGGGCAUCCCAGGCCCAGACCCCUCUGUCUGUGGCUCCUGCCUGCCAAGGGCUGCUGUGCUGUCCCGCAUGGAGUGUGGUUGGCUCUUCAAGCAGGAGGCCGUGCACCUAUCAGGCGGACCUGCUUCCAUGUCCCUGAUGGGUCACUGCAAAGCACCUCCAGCACAUGGCCAGGCGAGGUAGCCCUGCAGCCCAGGGCCUGGAGGGCAGGUGUGAGCUGGCCCGGGCCUGUCCCUCCCUGGAAUACAGCUUCCCAGGCUCCCACUUAUGGAGAAGUCUCCUCCACACUAUGGAACUGAAUCCUAGAAUGUGGCUUCUGAGGUUCCUACACUCGAACUGAAUCCUGGAAUGCGGCUUCCAAGGCUUCCAGCUAUGGAGAAGACUCCACACUCUGGAACCGAAUCCUGGAACGCGGCCUCCCAGGCCCCCAGCUAUGGAGAAGACUCCACACUCUGGAACCGAAUCCUGGAACGCGGCCUCCCAGGCCCCCAGCUAUGGAGAAGACUCCACACUCUGGAACCGGAUCCUGGAACGCGGCCUCCCAGCCUCCCACUUAAGGAGAAGUCUCCACA